rnacentral:rRNA from 1 species
CUACGGGAGGCAGCAGUGGGGUAUAUUGGACAAUGGGCGAAAGCCUGAUCCAGCCAUGCCGCGUGUGUGAAGAAGGCCUUCGGGUUGUAAAGCACUUUCAGUGGGGAAGAAAGCCUUGGGGCUAAUACCCUCGAGGAAGGACAUCACCCACAGAAGAAGCACCGGCUAACUCCGUGCCAGCAGCCGCGGUAAUACGGAGGGUGCGAGCGUUAAUCGGAAUUACUGGGCGUAAAGCGCGCGUAGGCGGUCUGAUAAGCCGGUUGUGAAAGCCCCGGGCUCAACCUGGGAACGGCAUCCGGAACUGUCAGGCUAGAGUGCAGGAGAGGAAGGUAGAAUUCCCGGUGUAGCGGUGAAAUGCGUAGAGAUCGGGAGGAAUACCAGUGGCGAAGGCGGCCUUCUGGACUGACACUGACGCUGAGGUGCGAAAGCGUGGGUAGCAAACAGGAUUAGAUACCCGGGUAGUC